rnacentral:rRNA from 1 species
AUGAACGCUGGCGGCGUGCCUAAUACAUGCAAGUCGAGCGAACAGACGAGGAGCUUGCUCCUCUGACGUUAGCGGCGGACGGGUGAGUAACACGUGGAUAACCUACCUAUAAGACUGGGAUAACUUCGGGAAACCGGAGCUAAUACCGGAUAAUAUAUUGAACCGCAUGGUUCAAUAGUGAAAGACGGUUUUGCUGUCACUUAUAGAUGGAUCCGCGCCGCAUUAGCUAGUUGGUAAGGUAACGGCUUACCAAGGCAACGAUGCGUAGCCGACCUGAGAGGGUGAUCGGCCACACUGGAACUGAGACACGGUCCAGACUCCUACGGGAGGCAGCAGUAGGAAAUCUUCCGCAAUGGGCGAAAGCUUGACGGAGCAACGCCGCGUGAGUGAUGAAGGUCUUCGGAUCGUAAAACUCUGUUAUUAGGGAAGAACAAAUGUGUAAGUAACUAUGCACGUCUUGACGGUACCUAAUCAGAAAGCCACGGCUAACUACGUG